CUGGUCUGUAACUGACGCUGAGGCUCGAAAGCGUGGGGAGCGAACAGGAUUAGAUACCCUGGUAGUCCACGCCGUAAACGAUGAGUGCUAAGUGUUGGAGGGUUUCCGCCCUUCAGUGCUGCAGCAAACGCAUUAAGCACUCCGCCUGGGGAGUACGACCGCAAGGUUGAAACUCAAAGGAAUUGACGGGGGCCCGCACAAGCGGUGGAGCAUGUGGUUUAAUUCGAAGCAACGCGAAGAACCUUACCAGGUCUUGACAUCCUUUGACCACUCUAGAGAUAGAGCUUCCCCUUCGGGGGCAAAGUGACAGGUGGUGCAUGGUUGUCGUCAGCUCGUGUCGUGAGAUGUUGGGUUAAGUCCCGCAACGAGCGCAACCCUUAUUGUUAGUUGCCAUCAUUUAGUUGGGCACUCUAGCGAGACUGCCGGUGACAAACCGGAGGAAGGUGGGGAUGACGUCAAAUCAUCAUGCCCCUUAUGACCUGGGCUACACACGUGCUACAAUGGGAAGUACAACGAGUUGCGAAGUCGCGAGGCUAAGCUAAUCUCUUAAAGCUUCUCUCAGUUCGGAUUGUAGGCUGCAACUCGCCUACAUGAAGCCGGAAUCGCUAGUAAUCGCGGAUCAGCACGCCGCGGUGAAUACGUUCCCGGGCCUUGUACACAC
rnacentral:rRNA from 1 species